rnacentral:lncRNA from 1 species
CUGAUGACAAUCCAACACUUUAUCCUAAACGCCCCCACUGACUCGGCUCAGCCCACAGGAUGGAUCACGCCUGAAACAGAUGUCCUGGCUUCCCCGGGCCAAGGAAUCUCAGCCCCUCCCAGUAGAUGAGACACUUCAUCCCUUGGACACCAGAAGCAUCUUCCGGAUUUCAUCAGGCAAGCGCACUCAGUAUGAACGGGUUCCGUGACUUUCUCCUGAGCAAACCUGUGCAGAAGGAUGAAAGGCUUUCUCCCCAGCUGUCAACAAGUACAAUUCAUUAAGGAACAUUUACAUGCACAGAGGAAAGGGAGCAUAAAUUCUCCCACCCUGAAGGAGACAGAACAAAAGUCAUUGCAAAGAUCAGGCAAAGGAGACAUUUGGAGAAUUUUAUUCUGUCUUACCAGAAUACGCAAGAAUGCCCUGAAAGACAGAAAUAAGAGCUUCAUUAGAAUCUCCUUAACAACCAAAAGAGAUGGAGGAAGUCAACAACUGAGGGUGAGGAGAGCUCUCUGCUGACAAGGCCACGUAUCCAGGUCCUUCCUGCUCCAUGGCAAGCACAGGCUGGAUGGAAGGCUUCCGUGGAUGCUUUGGGAGCGAAGUUGCCUGGAGAACCCACAAACUCAGGAGCUAGCAACAAAUUCCAGGACUUUCUAUAACCCAUUAAACACACUUGAAAGUGAUUAUCCUGAGCAGUAAUUGAGAACAGCUGAGACUUAGAAUGCUGGUUCAUAACUUAUCUUCGAUGGGUGUUUCUCAAAAUUUUUCUAUAUAAGAAUCAUCCAGCUAAGUAUAAUAGUUCGAAAUCUUAUCAAAUUGUGUACUUAGUUGCUUUAACAAAGUUGUUUUGGGUUUUUUUCGUUGAAAAAAAAUCAGAUCUCCGGGCUGGCCCCGUGGCCGAGUGGUUAAGUUCGCGCGCUCCACUGCAG